rnacentral:rRNA from 1 species
GUGUCAGCAGCCGCGGUAAGACGGAGGGGGCAAGCGUUGUCCGGAAUCACUGGGCGUAAAGCGCACGUAGGCGGCCUGGUGCGUCGGUGCUGAAAGCGCCCCGCUUAACGGGGCGAGGCGUGCCGAUACGACCGGGCUCGAGGCAGGCAGAGGGUGGCGGAAUUCCGGGUGUAGUGGUGAAAUGCGUAGAGAUCCGGAGGAACGCCUGUGGCGCAAGCGGCCACCUGGGCCUGACCUGACGCUGAGGUGCGAAAGCGUGGGGAGCGAACCGGAUUAGAUACCCCCGUAGUCC